UGAAUACGAGACGCUAAGGCGUCGAAGUAGUGUAUGUCAUACUUCCAAGAAAAGCUUGCACUGUCAUAAGUAAAAAAUGCCUGUACCAUAACCGACACAGGUGGGUAGGUAGAGUAUACUAAGGGGCGCGAGAUAACUCUCUCUAAGGAACUCGGCAAAAUAACUCCGUAACUUCGGGAGAAGGAGUACCUUAUUCUAUAAGGUUGCAAUAACAAGAACCAAGCAACUGUUUAUCAAAAACACAGGUCUCCGCUAAGUCGUAAGACGAUGUAUGGGGGCUGACGCCUGCCCAGUGCCAGAAGGUUAAAGAAGUCGGUUAGCAUUAGCGAAGCUGGUAACUGAAGCCCUGGUGAACGGCGGCCGUAACGAUAACGGUCCUAAGGUAGCGAAAUUCCUUGUCGGGUAAGUUCCGACCCGCACGAAAGGCGUAACGAUCUGGGCGCUGUCUCGGAGAGAGGCUCGGCGAAAUAGACUUGCCUGUGAAGAUGCGGACUACCUGCACCAGGACAGAAAGACCCUAUGAAGCUUUACUGUAACUUGAAAUUGAAAUUGGACUUUAUUCGCGCAGUAUAGGUGGGAGGUGUUGAUUAUAAUCUUGCGGGAUUAUUGGAGCCAUCAGUGAGAUACCACUCUUGUAAUGUUAGAUUUCUAACUUUGAAUCAUUAUCUGGUCAAAGGACAGUUUCAGGCGGGCAGUUUGACUGGGGCGGUCGCCUCCCAAACGGUAACGGAGGCGUACAAAGGUUUCCUCUGAACGGGUAGAAAUCGUAUCUAGAGUGUAAAGGCAUAAGGAAGCUUGACUGUGAGACCUACAAGUCGAACAGGGACGAAAGUCGGUCUUAGUGAUCUGACGGUACUGAGUGGAAAGGCCGUCACUCAACGGAUAAAAGUUACUCUAGGAUAACAGGCUGAUCUCCCCCAAGAGUUCACAUCGACGGGGAGGUUUGGCACCUCGAUGUCGGCUCAUCGCAUCCUGGGGCGGUAGUACGUCCCAAGGGUUGGGCUGUUCGCCCAUGAAAGCGGUACGCGAGCUGGGUUCAGAACGUCGUGAGACAGUUCGGUCCAUAUCCGGUGUAGGCGUUAGAAUAUUGAGAGGAGCCUUCUUUAGUACGAGAGGACCGAGAAGGACAUACCUCUGGUGUACCAGUUAUCGUGCCAACGGUAAACGCUGGGUAGCUAUGUAUGGAGUGGAUAACCGCUGAAAGCAUCUAAGUGGGAAGCCCACCUCAAGAUAAGUAUUCUCC
rnacentral:rRNA from 1 species